rnacentral:rRNA from 1 species
UGAGGUAUAUUGGUCAAUGGGCGAGAGCCUGAACCAGCCAAGUAGCGUGCAGGAUGACGGCCCUAUGGGUUGUAAACUGCUUUUAUAUGGGAAUAAAGUGAGGGACGUGUCCCUUAUUGCAUGUACCAUACGAAUAAGGACCGGCUAAUUCCGUGCCAGCAGCCGCGGUAAUACGGAAGGUCCAGGCGUUAUCCGGAUUUAUUGGGUUUAAAGGGAGCGUAGGCCGCGUUUUAAUCGUGUUGUGAAAUGUAGACGCCCAACGUCGGCAUCGCAGCGCGAACUGGUACGCUUGAGUACGCGUAACGUUGGCGGAAUUCGUCGUGUAGCGGUGAAAUGCUUAGAUAUGACGAGGAACUCCGAUUGCGAAGGCAGCUGACGGGAGCGGCACUGACGCUUAAGCUCGACGGUGCGGGUAUCAAACAGG